ACUCAAAUGAAUUGACGGGGACCCGCACAAGCGGUGGAGCAUGUGGAUUAAUUCGAUGCAACGCGAAGAACCUUACCAAGGCUUGACAUCCCGACGAAUACGUUAGAGAUAACGUAGGCCCUCCGGGGACGUUGGAGACAGGUGGUGCAUGGUUGUCGUCAGCUCGUGUCGUGAGAUGUUGGGUUAAGUCCCGCAACGAGCGCAACCCCUAUCUUUAAUAGCCAUCGAGUAGAGUCGGGCACAUUAGAGAGACUGCCGUGGAUAACACGGAGGAAGGUGGGGACGAUGUCAAAUCAUCAUGCCCCUUAUGUCUUGGGCUUCACACGUGCUACAAUGGUUCCUACAGAGUGACGCAAAAUCGUGAGGUGGAGCAAAUCACAAAAAGGAAUCCCAGUUCGGAUUGCAGCCUGCAACUCGGCUGCAUGAAGUUGGAAUCGCUAGUAAUCGCGAAUCAUCACGUCGCGGUGAAUACGUUCCCGGGUCUUGUACACACCGCCCGU
rnacentral:rRNA from 1 species